AUUAUAUAUUGGAUUUAAUUAGCCUAUGCAUGCCUACCAGAAGUGUUGUGGCAGCAAAGCGAACAACAGAUGAGACAAACAGCUUUGGGCCCCUGAACCCCAGAACCCCUGCAGUUCAUGCUCUAGUAAAGGAGAGAGAGAUAGACCAACCGUGGGACUAUGGAGGAAUACUUUGAGGGUUCUCAAAUAGUUGGAAAUGCCUCCCAGAAGACUGUCCUGUGUACUAACUCUUAGAGCCUGUGAUUGCAGUCUUCCAUGGCAAAGAGGAGGGAGGAAAUGGGGGACGGUCUUUAUAGAGAUGAGUAAGGCUCUCAAGACGGAAGAGUACCGUGAACUGGAGGCGGGUCUCAAACACAAUUGCAUGUCCUUACAAAAGGCGGAGGGAGAGUUGACAUAGGCAGGAGGCAGGGCAGUGUGACCACAGAGGCAGAGAACAGAAUGAUAUAACCUCAUCCAGAGGACAGUAAAGCAUGGAGUCCUGGCAGCUGCUGGAAUCUGGAAGAAGGAUCCGAGUUCCUUAGUCAUUUCUGGAGGGAUUGUGGUCCUGGAUUCACACAGCCCAGAGCUGGUUUCCAGGGCCUCCCCUCUAGAACUGUGAUAAGGUAGACUUCUGUUGUUCUAAUCCAGAGUUCGCGUAGUUACACCAGCUAGGAGAAAUGAGCAGACACUUUAGAACACUCCUGGGAAAGUGUCUGCUGGAGAAUCUUGGGUCAAGCUUAGGAACUGAUCCUGGCUGAUUUAAACAGAAAGAUUCCCCGGAAUUGGCACCAACGAGGGAUGGGACGGCUCCAGCAGUGGGCCAGUAGCCCUGAGCCUGAGUGGGCGAGUAAGCUUAGCCACCAGGAGGGUUCCAGAAAGCUCCAGCAGUUAAUGUCAGGGGAGAGCCUGCUAAGAGGCUACUGCCCACGUCAUGGAAAGAAGUGUACCCUAGCCAUUCCUCUUGUCUUUGUGUCACUUGUGACCUGUACAAUUCCUGGAAGCAUAAUCUGGUUGGGUAGAAAGCCUCUCCACUGUGUCUUCCUCAGUUUAGAGAAAGGAAGGAAGUCCCAUGACUACUACAGAGAAGAAAUUCUUCCUAACUUCAGGAAGGUUCAACAACCCAAACCAAUAACAGUAUCAACAACUGUACAUAGCAGGAGAUGGCCAACGCAGGUGUGGGUGGCUUUAGGGGGAAGGUUGUGGAAGACAAACCUAAACCAUUAGGAGCCAGCCUGAGCAUUCAUAGAACUGAACUGUGACAUGUAGACACGCAUGUACAUGCAUGUUGUUCUCACAUGUUCUCUGAGCUAGCUGGCAUUCCCCUCCUCCUAUUUUCACAUCUCAUAUUGCAAACUUGACUAGGAAAUGUAAACCAAACCCAGGGACCUUGGGACGGGGGAAAGGAGAAUGCAGGCUUGAAACAGAAACACAGUAUAUGACGGUUCCAUACCUAUGUCCUUGGAACUUAAGUCAGAAUCCCCAGAACAUCCCAGAACUAAGAACAAACACUGUCGUCGCUGAAACUAAUUGUGUAUUGGGUUGCCUAGCAACUCUGGGUUGUUAUGUGACUAACUCCUGGCCUGGACACAUCUUGCCUAUGGGCCCUGAAAUGAAGCAGAGAUCAAGGAGCUGCAGGUGAGGUGACUCAGAAGACUGAAGGAUGCAAUGUUUCAGAACAAGCUGGAGAUAAAGUCCACCGAAGUCAUCCUUCCAGCAAGGUCUGCUGAGUCUCUCAGCCUGGUUCCAGUGGGGGUCCGAGAGGAGCUACAGUCACUUUCCACCCUUUGUCACUGCUCUUAAACUGGGCGCUGUUCCUGGGGACAACAUGAUGCCCGUGCCCUAGGGAUAUAACGUGGCCAACUGCUCCCAGCUUCUGACAACUCCCCCACCACAAUGGACCAUCACCGGGAACUGAGUUAAAAAUAAAGCUUUUGUCUCUUAAGUUGCUCUGUGUGUAUCACAUCGACAUGAAAAGGAAACAAGCAGUUGCUCUUAACCACUGCUCCAUCUUGCAGAAUUCUUAAGAAUAUUAGACGAGACAAUAUAUUUAUGCCUGGUGCGGGAUGCACAUCAGUGAGCGUUCAGUAAUUGGGCAAACAC
rnacentral:sRNA from 1 species